rnacentral:rRNA from 1 species
AUCGAACGCUGGCGGAAUGCUUUACACAUGCAAGUCGAACGGCAGCACGGACUUCGGUCUGGUGGCGAGUGGCGAACGGGUGAGUAAUGUAUCGGAACGUGCCCAGUCGUGGGGGAUAACGUAGUGAAAAUUACGCUAAUACCGCAUACGAUCUAUGGAUGAAAGCGGGGGAUCGCAAGAUCUCGCGCGAUUGGAGCGGCCGAUAUCAGAUUAGGUAGUUGGUGGGGUAAAGGCCCACCAAGCCAACGAUCUGUAUCUGGUCUGAUAGGACGACCAGCCACACUGGAACUAAGGCACGAUCCAGACUCCGACGGGAGGCAGCAGUGGGGAAUUUUGGACAAUGGGCGAAAGCCUGAUCCAGCCAUACCGCGUGCAGGAUGAAGGCCCUCGGGUUGUAAACUGCUUUUGUACAGAACGAAAAGGUUUCUACUAAUACUAGGAGCUCAUGACGGUACUGUAAGAAUAAGCACCGGCUAACUACGUGCCAGCCGCCGCAGUAA